rnacentral:rRNA from 1 species
AGUGAACGCUGGCGGUAGGCCUAACACAUGCAAGUCGAACGGCAGCACAGUAAGAGCUUGCUCUUACGGGUGGCGAGUGGCGGACGGGUGAGGAAUACAUCGGAAUCUACUUUUUCGUGGGGGAUAACGUAGGGAAACUUACGCUAAUACCGCAUACGACCUACGGGUGAAAGCAGGGGAUCUUCGGACCUUGCGCGAUUGAAUGAGCCGAUGUCGGAUUAGCUAGUUGGCGGGGUAAAGGCCCACCAAGGCGACGAUCCGUAGCUGGUCUGAGAGGAUGAUCAGCCACACUGGAACUGAGACACGGUCCAGACUCCUACGGGAGGCAGCAGUGGGGAAUAUUGGACAAUGAGCGCAGGCCUGAUCCAGCCAUACCGCGUGGGUGAAGAAGGCCUUCGGGUUGUAAAGCCCUUUUGUUGGGAAAGAAAAGCAGCAGGUUAAUACCCCGCUGUUCUGACGGUACCCAAAGAAUAAGCACCGGCUAACUUCGUG